GCUCUUCACUGUGAUGAAAUCAUCUCCUAUCUCCUAUCGGGUCUUGGCCAUGAUUAUGACUCCUUUGUUACUACCAUCACAGCUCGCACAGAUCCUAUCACCUUAGAGGAAGUAUAUGCUCUCUUACUCACCACUGAGU
rfam:Populus trichocarpa isolate Nisqually-1 chromosome 1, whole genome shotgun sequence.